CGGGACGGGUGAGUAAUGUCUGGGAAACUGCCCGAUGGAGGGGGAUAACUACUGGAAACGGUAGCUAAUACCGCAUAACGUCGCAAGACCAAAGAGGGGGACCUUCGGGCCUCUUGCCAUCGGAUGUGCCCAGAUGGGAUUAGCUAGUAGGUGAGGUAACGGCUUACCUAGGCGACGAUCCCUAGCUGGUCUGAGAGGAUGAUCAGCCACACUGGGACUGAGACACGGCCCAG
rnacentral:rRNA from 1 species